AGUGAAAGAGAGUAACAUAAAACUUUAUUCCAAAGUAUGUACCAGUGAUUUACAAAGACCAUCUUUAAUACUACAACUUAAAACCAGGUCAUAAUUACAUUUGUUUAAGAUGGACAUGUUAAAAACCCACUUUACAAUAUUUACCCCUCAUAAAAAAAACCCCCACAAUAUAACGAUAUAAGUUACAAGUCCAUUUCAGAAGCAAGAUGUUGUCCCCAAGUGGCUUAGAGAUAUAUAUAUACACACACAAAUAUAUAUAUGAUGUGUAAGUGCACGAGUGAACUGCGUGUCUUGGGAGAAAAAGGUCUUUUCAAGUGAAGACUGCACUACACCAGGAGCGAGUGAGGCUGAGCAGGAGAAGGCAGUGCUGGCGGGGGGGUGAGGGCUGAGGGUCCCCCUUGCACCCCACCAGUCUCAGAGGUAACCUCUAUUUCUUCCCCUUCAAGCUACGGUUUCUUGCUUCACACAACAGGACUUUAGUCAGUGUAUCUACCAGCGCUGAAUGCAGCUGCAGUCACAGUGAGUGAGUUUUGAGUCUUUCUGCUUUCCCUCAGCCUAUUUUGUUCCUUUUCAUUUUCCUUUUGAUUCUUAUAAAUUAACGUGACGAGCGGAUGCUAAUUCUGUGAGCAGAAUUUUGUCCAAGUUCCCCCUCGCAGAGCUCUCUGUAGCUCUGGUGGGUGAACUAAGGCUGCCCUUGGUGUGUGUGGGGGGAGGUUAAAUGUGUCCUUGCUUUUAAAAACACAAAAGUGACGGAAUUAAUCCAGUUUGUCCUAAUUGCAUUUAUUAUAAACCAGAAGCUGCCUCCAGCAGAAGACAGUCUGUGACUAUUAUUAAUAGCCUCAAGUGUUCCAUGAACUAAAUCUAUGUGCGUUGUAAGCGUGGGGUGAAGGGAGCAGGAUUUAGGACAUGGUGCACGGCUGCUGCCUGCCUCAGCCCACGCUCUGUACAGGACAGUGGCUCUUAACACGAGCCAUGUGGCAGCACAAGUCCUGCUGCUGAUGCUUGACCACUGGGGAAGGACUUAGACCUGUCUCCACACCCCCCCUCCAAGUAUUUGGCUGUGUUUAUGAAAGAUGUCCCCACCAUGCCCCCUUCUCCCCACCUUCCUCCCCUGCCCUCCUUCCCCCUUGGAUCUGUGGCCCCUCUCUGGUUUUGCCCCCCCGACUUGCGCCUGCAGUCACUGGAGAUCAAGUGUUUGACCACGGUUAAUGCAAUCGAGUAGGUGAUGUCUGGGGCCCAGGAGCAGUGCAGCUUUCUGUUGUCAGGCUGUACACGGAGGUGCACU
ensembl:lncRNA